rnacentral:rRNA from 1 species
GACGAACGCUGGCGGCGUGCUUAACACAUGCAAGUCGAACGGAAAGGCCCCUUUGGGGGUACUCGAGUGGCGAACGGGUGAGUAACACGUGAGUAACCUGCCCUUGACUUCGGGAUAACUUCAGGAAACUGGUGCUAAUACCGGAUAGGAAUCCUUGCUGCAUGGUGGGGGUUGGAAAGCUUCGGCGGUUUUGGAUGGACUCGCGGCUUAUCAGCUUGUUGGUGGGGUAGUGGCUUACCAAGGCUUUGACGGGUAGCCGGCCUGAGAGGGCGACCGGCCACAUUGGGACUGAGAUACGGCCCAGACUCCUACGGGAGGCAGCAGUGGGGAAUAUUGCACAAUGGGCGGAAGCCUGAUGCAGCAACGCCGCGUGCGGGAUGACGGCCUUCGGGUUGUAAACCGCUUUCAGCAGGGGCGAAGCUUGUGGUGACGGUACCUGCAGAAGAAGCACCGGCUAACUACGUG